CCCUGCUUUUGUGGGGUGCUCGAGUGGCGAACGGGUGAGUAACACGUGAGUAACCUGCCCUUGACUUUGGGAUAACUUCAGGAAACUGGGGCUAAUACCGGAUAGGAGCUCCUGCUGCAUGGUGGGGGUUGGAAAGUUUCGGCGGUUGGGGAUGGACUCGCGGCUUAUCAGCUUGUUGGUGGGGUAGUGGCUUACCAAGGCUUUGACGGGUAGCCGGCCUGAGAGGGUGACCGGCCACAUUGGGACUGAGAUACGGCCCAGACUCCUACGGGAGGCAGCAGUGGGGAAUAUUGCACAAUGGGCGGAAGCCUGAUGCAGCAACGCCGCGUGCGGGAUGACGGCCUUCGGGUUGUAAACAGCUUUCGCCUGUGACGAAGCGUGAGUGACGGUAAUGGGUAAAGAAGCACCGGCUAACUACGUGCCAGCAGCCGCGGUGAUACGUAGGGUGCGAGCGUUGUCCGGAUUUAUUGGGCGUAAAGGGCUCGUAGGUGGUUGAUCGCGUCGGAAGUGUAAUCUUGGGGCUUAACCCUGAGCGUGCUUUCGAUACGGGUUGACUUGAGGAAGGUAGGGGAGAAUGGAAUUCCUGGUGGAGCGGUGGAAUGCGCAGAUAUCAGGAGGAACACCAGUGGCGAAGGCGGUUCUCUGGGCCUUUCCUGACGCUGAGGAGCGAAAGCGUGGGGAGCGAACAGGCUUAGAUACCCUGGUAGUCCACGCUGUAAACGGUGGGUACUAGGUGUGGGGUCCAUUCCACGGGUUCCGUGCCGUAGCUAACGCUUUAAGUACCCCGCCUGGGGAGUACGGCCGCAAGGCUAAAACUCAAAUGAAUUGACGGGGCGCC
rnacentral:rRNA from 1 species